rnacentral:rRNA from 1 species
AGGCAGCAGUUAGGAAUCUUCCGCAAUGGGCGAAAGCCUGACGGAGCGACACCGCGUGAGCGAAGAAGGCCUUCGGGUCGUAAAGCUCUGUUGUGAGGGACGAAGGAGCGCCGUUCGAAGAGGGCGGCGCGGUGACGGUACCUCACGAGGAAGCCCCGGCUAACUACGUGCCAGCAGCCGCGGCAAUACGUAGGGGGCGAGCGUUGUCCGGAAUUAUUGGGCGUAAAGCGCGCGCAGGCGGUUCCUUAAGUCUGAUGUGAAAGCCCACGGCUCAACCGUGGAGGGUCAUUGGAAACUGGGGGACUUGAGUGCAGGAGAGGAGAGCGGAAUUCCACGUGUAGCGGUGAAAUGCGUAGAGAUGUGGAGGAACACCAGUGGCGAAGGCGGCUCUCUGGCCUGCAACUGACGCUGAGGCGCGAAAGCGUGGGGAGCAAACAGGAUUAGAUACCCGAGUAGUCC